UUAAAGCCCUAGGGGAGUUUCUGACUGAGAGCCCGGCCACAGCGGGCAACCCUUUGAACCUGAUCCGGGUCAUUCCGGCGGAGGGAAGCGGCGCCAACUCCGG
rnacentral:ncRNA from 2 species